AGGCGCAGAGUCGGCAGCGACUGGAAAAGGCGCGGAGACGGCGAAGGCGAUGAGCUCCGAGAAUAUCGGUGCUGAUGCAGGAAGGAGGAGCCGGCCGAUCGCGCUAAUACGCUGAGAGAUUUCGUGAAGGUCUCGUGAUAUUUGAAGAACAUUCAUGUCUUCUAUUGGAUGUGAAGAUCCGAUCAUCAGAAUCUUGAUAUUAUUUACCUUUGAUUCGCUCACCUUGUCCAUGAGAUCCACCUCCUCUGUCUUGUUCUGAACAAGGAGAAAGUGAGGACUGCAGAUGCUGGAGAUCAGAGUCGAGAGUGUGGUGCUGGAAAAGCACAGCAGGUCAGGCAGCUUCCGAGGUGCCGGAGAAUCGACGUUACGGGCAUAAGUCCUGCAUCAGGAAUGGCGGCAGUGAGACAUGAAGAGAUUGAGGGCGGAUAACAGGCCAGUAGGGGGUGUCCAGGUGGAUGGGGUGUAUUAGAGAUGAGAGAAGGGGUCCUCGAUGGGUGGGCGGAAGUCUUGAUUGAAAAAAAAAAGGUGAGGCCUUUGCUGAGGACUAAACGUUCAUCUUCAGUGAGGGGGAGCCAUGGGGUAAUGGUAAAGAAAUGGCGGACUGGGAGCUAGGACCUGGUGAAGGGCUGGAGCUGGGUGUGGGGGCAGAGAGAGGGCGGAUGAAGAGUUUAUGUCUGGAAUGUUGAUGCUCCUGCUCCUCAUGCUGCCUGACUUGCUGUGCUUUUCCAGCGUUACACUCGACUUGGUUCUGACCAAUGCUGAACUAGUGACAGCAUUUACCAAACCGUCCUUGCUCACUAAUAUUGUUCAUGGUUCUCUCUCUUCAAAGACUAUCCCACUUCCCUUUCCCUCUGCCGCCAUUUACUCAUCCUCAAAAAACAACACUUGGCUCAGCCGUCAUUGUAUCCCAUCCCGAAUCUCUUCCUGUGAACACUUUGCCUCCUUCUAAAUCUGUGUCUAUUGUUCCCAGAACUCCAUCUUUCAAUUCCUCCAGUCAGAUUUCAUCCCCGUCACCAGAAUCAAAUUCUUGUCCAAAUCACCGAUUUUGAAAGUAAGCAAUUACUCCUUGACCUUCUUGCCCCGUUCUGAAGCCUUCUACCACACCAUCCUCCUGCAGCCCCUCGUCACUGUUCUCCUGCUGAAUGGACCUACGCUUUUCUGACUCAUUGCUGACCUGUCACGUCACGGUCAGAGCAUCAGUGCAACGCCUUCCCUUCCUGCUUCCAUGGCCUUACCUCUGGUGUCCCAGAGGAUCAGUCCUCUGCCUCUUCCUAUUCCUAAUCCACAGUCUGCUGCUCAGGGACAUCAUCUGAAAAACUCAGUGUCAGAUUUCACAUGUGGCUGAUGACACCAGCAGCCAUUGCAACUCUUCCACUGUUACUCAAUUCUCAGAGAGUCUUUGUCCCACAUCCAGGAGUACACUUGUGGACUUUCCUCCAGCCUAACCUUGUGGAGGCUGAAGCCACUCUUUCAACUUCUGCUCCUCAGCUUCUUAUCCUUCUCAUGGGCAGGUCAUUGAGAUGUCCAGCAUGGAAACAGACCCUUCAGUCCAACCCGUCCAUGCUGACCAGAUAUCCCAACACAAUCUAGUCCCACCUGCCAGCACCCGGCCCAUAUCCCUCCAAGCCCUUCCUAGUCAUAUACCCAUCCAAAUGCCUCUUAAAUGUUGCAAUUGUACCAGCCUCCACCACAUCCUCUGGCAGCUCAUUCCAUACACGUACCACCCUCUGUGUGAAAACGUUGCCACUUAGGUCUCUUUUAUAUCUUUCCCCUGUCACCCUAAACCUAUGCCCUCUAGUUCUGGACUCCCUGACCCCAGUGGAAAGACUUUGUCUAUUUAUCCUAUACAUGCCCCUCAUAAUUUUGUAAACCUCUGUAAGGUCACCCCUUCGCCUCCAACACUCCAGGGAAAACAGCCCCUGCCUGUUCAGCCUUUCCCUAUCGCUCAAACCCUCCAACCCUGUUUUACAUCUGUUGUCAUUACUAAUAUGUUCUUCUUCCUUCCUUCCUUGUCUGUUUCCCUCCUCUUGAUUGCUCUCGGCAAUACAGAUUCUUCCAUUGCUACUGGUUAAUUGCCCCAUUCUUUAUUUCCAGUUAUAUUAAUGAACUUGACCUUCAAUAAGAAAACAAAGUUUUGCCAUGAAUUAGCUUAAAUUUCAGUGAUUUAAUGAUUGAACACCUAUCUAGGAUCAGGUGUGCUUUUGUUGGGCAAGAAUAUUUAAACUUACAUUUUGACAUAAGCUUAAUUAAUUGUAUAUUGUGCAUUUGACAUUAAAGUCCAUAAAUUGAGUUAUGCAGUUGUCAGACUAAAUGAGGUACUUAACAAGGCUUCUCAUUAAAGGAGGACUCAAUUACACCCGUAACAGAAAGGAGAAGAAAGAAAACAUUAUACAAGGACAAGUUUAGGCAGAAUGAAAAUAUGUCUUCAAGUGGUGAGAGUGCAGUUUUGUUUUGGUGAUGUGUGCUUGCUGCCUGAACUGUGAUUUCAGCUCCUCAGUUAAAGAUUCCAACCGAUCGAAGGAAACAAUAAUCUUUAGCUUUAUUUAUUGUCUUUAGAUGGAAUCUCAGUAUUCAUUUUUCAUCUUUCAGAAAGUGUGAAUGCUGAUAUUGUUCAGAAAUACUAUUAAAUCUGUAUUACAUUCAUGCAUCUGCAUUAUGUGAUCCCUAUGAUGUUGCUAAAUCACAGUGACAGAACUGGAUACUAUCAGUGCUACUUAGGUGUUGAUCUUACCUCGACAUUCAAGGUAUUGGUACCAGUGAAGUCAUCUCCCACCCCCCACCCCCAUGACAACUAUUUGGAAAUUUCAGUCUUCACUUUCUUUUUUUA